UGGGGAAUAUUGGACAAUGGGCGAAAGCCUGAUCCAGCCAUGCCGCGUGUGUGAAGAAGGUCUUCGGAUUGUAAAGCACUUUAAGUUGGGAGGAAGGGCAUUAACCUAAUACGUUAGUGUUUUGACGUUACCGACAGAAUAAGCACCGGCUAACUCUGUGCCAGCAGCCGCGGUAAUACAAAGGGUGCAAGCGUUAAUCGGAAUUACUGGGCGUAAAGUGCGCGUAGGUGGUUUGUUAAGUUGGAUGUGAAAUCCCCGGGCUCAACCUGGGAACUGCAUUCAAAACUGACUGACUAGAGUAUGGUAGAGGGUGGUGGAAUUUCCUGUGUAGCGGUGAAAUGCGUAGAUAUAGGAAGGAACACCAGUGGCGAAGGCGACCACCUGGACUAAUACUGACACUGAGGUGCGAAAGCGUGGGGAGCAAACA
rnacentral:rRNA from 1 species